AUGAGUCUCCUCAGCUGGAACUGUCGGGGUCUGGGGCAACCCCGGACAGUUCAGGAGCUCGUGUGCUUGGUGCACACUUAUCGCCUAAAGAUUGUCUUCUUGUCCGAGACGCGGCAACAUGAAGAGAAGGUGAAAGGAAUCAAGUGGAGACUGGGACUGAAGCACUGCCUUUCUCAUGAUGGUAAGGGUAAGGGUGCGGGCAUUGCCUUGUAUUGGGAUGAGUCAAUAAAAAUAAAAUGUUUGUCAUAUGGACCACGGUACUUUGAUGUGUUGGUGACUGAUGAUCCUCAUGGCCCUUCGUGGCGAGGUACUUUUGUCUAUGGUGAACCGAGAGCACAGGAUAGACACUAUAUGUGGUCCUUGCUGAGGAGAAUUAGGCCAAAUGCAAGUGAACCGUGGUUGAUGAUUGGCGACUUCAACGAAACUCUGUGGCAAUCUGAGCAUUUCUCCAAUUCUAAAAGAUCAGAAGGCCAAAUGGCUAGGUUCCGAAGUGUUCUCAAUUUCUGUAAUUACAUGAUCUAG
rnacentral:rRNA from 1 species